GAGUUUGAUCCUGGCUCAGGAUGAACGCUAGCGGCAGGCCUAACACAUGCAAGUCGAGGGGUAACAGGAAAAAGCUUGCUUUUUUGCUGACGACCGGCGCACGGGUGCGUAACGCGUAUAGAACCUACCUUUUACAGGGGGAUAGCCUUUAGAAAUGAAGAUUAAUACCCCAUGGUAUUAUUGAUUCGCAUGGAUUAAUAAUUAAAGAUUUAUCGGUAAAAGAUGGCUAUGCGUCCUAUUAGCUAGAUGGUGUGGUAACGGCACACCAUGGCAACGAUAGGUAGGGGCCCUGAGAGGGGGAUCCCCCACACUGGUACUGAGACACGGACCAGACUCCUACGGGAGGCAGCAGUGAGGAAUAUUGGGCAAUGGA
rnacentral:rRNA from 1 species